CUUCGGACCUCGCGCUAUUGGAUGAGCCCGCGUCGGAUUAGCUUGUUGGUGAGGUAAAAGCUCACCAAGGCGACGAUCCGUAGCUGGUCUGAGAGGACGAUCAGCCACACUGGGACUGAGACACGGCCCAGACUCCUACGGGAGGCAGCAGUGGGGAAUAUUGGACAAUGGGCGCAAGCCUGAUCCAGCAAUGCCGCGUGUGUGAAGAAGGCCCUAGGGUUGUAAAGCACUUUCAGUUGGGAAGAAACGCAGGGUGUUAAUACCACCCUGUAAUGACGUUACCGACAGAAGAAGCACCGGCUAACUCCGUG
rnacentral:rRNA from 1 species